AGCACCUUGCCGCGACCUCCCCAUGGCUCCUGCGCCCUCUCCUAUCUUUUCCCCUCACACGAAAGCACCACACUGCUGCUGCCGUAUGAUAGAUCUUGGGGCGCUGCUCGAGCCGGGUGCACAUCGCUGGGAGCCAUCACGUGGCCAUCGCACCACGCCAUCACUCCGAGCUUCAUCAAGUAGUCGGGGCGAGUCACCAAAUCGCCCAACACUGGUCCGUGGCUCUCACGAACGAGUUUUGCAUCCGUGGCGGAAGAAAUUUCUCAACGGAGCAACGACACACCGCGGGCCACACAUCUUCGUGGACGGAGCGCGUCGCGACACCAUUGUAGAAGAACCCGUUGCUGAGGAUCCUGGUGAGCAGCAGGUUGAAGUAGCUGAGCAGGAGCUCAUUGAAGG
rnacentral:misc_RNA from 1 species